rnacentral:rRNA from 1 species
CCCUUAGAUGUUCUGGGCCGCACGCGCGCUACACUGAUGCAUUCAACGAGUCUAAAACCUGGUCUGAUAGGGCUGGGUAAUCUUUUGAAUGUGCAUCGUGAUUGGGAUAGAUGAUUGCAAUUCUUCAUCUUCAACGAGGAACGCCUAGUAAACGCAAGUCAUCAGCUUGCAUUGAUUACGUCCCUGCCCUUUGUACACACCGCCCGUCGCUCCUACCGAUUGAAUGUUCCGAUGAAUACCAUGGACUGAGAGUAUGAAUGGGUUCGCCUAUUUCUGCUUCUCGGGAAGUGGAGUAAAUCUUAACAUUUAGAGGAAGGAGAAGUCGUAACA